NNNNNNNNNNNNNNNNNNNNNNCUCACUUUGGGUUUUCUUUAUUGUGUCUACUUCCCUUUUUAGUUCUAGUAUGGUUUUGUUCAUUUCCAUCACCUGUUUGGAUAUGUUAUCUUGUUUUUCUUUAAGGACUUCUGUUUGGUUGUGUUUUCCUGUUUUUCUUUAAGGACCUGUGACUCUUUAGCAGUGUUCUCCUGUAUUUCUUUAAGUGAGUUAUGAAAGUCCUUCUUGAUGUCCUCUACCAUCAUCAUGAGAAGUGUUUUUAAAUCUGGGUCGUCUAGAUUUUCGGUUGUGUUGGGGUGCCCAGGACUAGGUGGGGUGGGCGUGCUGUGUUCUGAUUUUGGUGAGUAGUCUUGGUGUCUGUUAGUAGGAUUCUUACAUUUGCCUUUCGCCAUCUGGUAAUCUCUGAAGCUAGCUGUUAUAGUUGUCUCUGGUUAGAGCUUGUUCCUCAGGUGACUUUGUUAGCCUCUAUAAGCAGACCUCGGAGGCUAGCUCUCUCCUUAGUUUCAGUGGUCAGUUUCUCUGUAGGCAAACUCUCUUCUUGCAGGGAAGGUGCCCAGAUAUCUGGUGUCGAACCUGCCUCCUGGAAGAAGUUGUGUUCCACUCACCAGAGGUCUUAGGAUCCCGCAGGGAAUCCUAUGUGGCCCCCUGCGGAUGUUGGGAGACUCUGCUGGCAAGGCACCCCGGUGCUCGAGUCUUUGAAGUUUCUCUGUGUAGCCCUGGCUGUCCUGGAACUAACUCUGUAGACUAGGCUGGCCUGGAACUCAGCUAUGACCUGGACUCAAGCUGUGGUCUUGGUGUCUACUGGGAUGAGUGUUGCACAUCUAUGAAUACAAUCAAGAAAAUCCCCACAGAUACUAUCACAGGUCAACCUUGUCUACGCAACCAUUGAGGCUCUCUUCCCAGGGCUACUCAAGUUUGGAGUCAUUUACUUAUGUUGGUGAUUUCAGAUCACAAAUUAUAUCUGCCGAACGUAGAGAUCUUACUCCUUCAAUGAAGGCAAGACUUUUGUCAAAUGGGAAUCAGUUGUGUCAUGACUCUGAAUUUAUAGUAUAUUCAUCGUUGAUACUGAUGAUAACUGGCCAUGAACCUGAGCAUGGAAUGCACCAGAGAGACUCCAUUUGCAAGCUGAUGCAACAAGACUAUGUAUCCUCUACAAAGAGGAUGCUGAAAGCUGCUCCAGACAGUGUGCACAAAGACAUUGACAAGCAGAGCUACAACCAGUAGCAUGCUGAAAAUCAGGAACCUAAAAGUGUUGACAUACACUAGUCCUCCAAGGUCUAAUCACAUGAGCUCCAAGAAUGUGGCCAGUGAUAUGGCUCAGGACCUAGUGGUGUUUGUCACAAAGCCCGACAGCCUGAGUUUGAUCCUUGGGACCCAUGAGCUGGAACUCCUGCAAGUUGUAUUCUGACCUCCACAUAUUCUGAUCACACAAAUGCUGCCACACUCAAAAAAAUAAAUAAAUGUAAAAAUUCAAAU
ensembl:lincRNA 4933436I20Rik RIKEN cDNA 4933436I20 gene